UGCCAGACUCCUACGGGAGGCAGCAGUGGGGGAUAUUGCACAAUGGGGGGAACCCUGAUGCAGCGACGCCGCGUGGGUGAAGGAGCACCUCGGUGCGUAAAGCCCUAUCGGCAGGGAAGAAAAGCGAACAGGUUCGCCUGGACGGUACCUGAAGAAGAAGCCCCGGCUAACUACGUGCCAGCAGCCGCGGUAAUACGUAGGGGGCAAGCGUUAUCCGGAUUUACUGGGUGUAAAGGGGGCGCAGACGGCGAUGCAAGCCAGGAGUGAAAGCCCGGGGCCCAACCCCAGGACUGCUCUUGGAACUGCGUGGCUGGAGUGCAGGAGGGGCAGGCGGAAUUCCUGGUGUAGCGGUGAAAUGCGUAGAUAUCAGGAGGAACACCGGUGGCGAAGGCGGCCUGCUGGACUGCAACUGACGUUGAGGCCCGAAAGCGUGGGGAGCAAACAGGAUUAGAUACCCUAGUAGU
rnacentral:rRNA from 1 species